rnacentral:tRNA from 1 species
UAGGUAGAAGCCUGUUGGUUGAGGCACCUAGCUGUUAACUAGGGUUUUAUGGGAUCGAGGCCCAUCUAUCUAG